ACUCAAAUGAAUUGACGGGGACCCGCACAACCAGUGGAGCGUGUGGUUCAAUUCGAGACAAAGCGAAGCACCUAACCAGGGUUUGACAUGCUAGAGUCCUAUCUCCUGGAAACAGGAGAAAUUCGUAAGAAGACUAGCACAGCUGCUGCAUGGCUGUCGUCAGCUCGUGCCGUGAGGUGUUCCUUUAAGUAGGACAACGAGCGCAACCCCUAUCUGAUGUUACAAGUGUCAUCAGAGACGGUCCCGAUUUUUGUCGGGAAGGAAGGAGGGGACGACGUCAAGUCAGCACGGCGCUUACACCCUGGGUCACACACACCCUACAAUGGCGAAAAACAAUGGGAUGCAAGACGGCAACGUUAAGCUAAUCCCCAGUAAAUUUCGCCUCAGUUCAGAUUGGGGUCUGCAACCCGACCCCAUGAAGUCGGAAUUGGUAGUAAUCGCAGAUCAGCAGGCUGCGGUGAAUACGUUCUCGGGUCUUGUACACACCGCCCGU
rnacentral:rRNA from 1 species